GGAGUCUGGGCCGUGUCUCAGUCCCAAUGUGGCCGUUCAUCCUCUCAGACCGGCUAUGUAUCAUCGCCUUGGUGGGCCGUUACCUCACCAACCAGCUAAUACAGCGUAAGCCCAUCCCACAGCGGUGCAAACGCACCUUUAAUAAUAAGGAGAUGCCUCCCUAUUACCUAUGCGGUAUUACCAUCCGUUUCCAGAAGCUAUCCCUCUCUCAGAGGCAGGUUGCUCACGUGUUACUCACCCGUCCGCCACUAAGAAUACAAAGCAAGCUAAGUAUUCUCCGUUCGACUUGCAUGUGUUAGGCGUGCCGCCAGCGUUCGUC
rnacentral:rRNA from 1 species